rnacentral:rRNA from 1 species
CCAAUAGCGUAUAUUAAAGUUGUUGCAGUUAAAAAGCUCGUAGUUGAAUUUCGGGAUCAGUACGCUGGUCGUGCCUUCGGUAUGCACUGGUUUCACUGAUUCCUCCCUUCUGAAGAACCGUAAUGCCAUUCAGUUGGUGUGGCGGGGAAUCAGGAUUGUUACUUUGAAAAAAUUAGAGUGUUUAAAGCAGGCUCGCGCUUGAAUACAUUAGCAUGGAAUAAUGAAAUAGGACGUUUGAUCCUAUUUUGUUGGUUUCUAGGAUUGACGUAAUGAUUAAUAGGGGUGUUUGGGGGCAUUAGUAUUAAAUUGUCAGAGGUGAAAUUCUUGGAUUUAUUGAAGACUAACUACUGCGAAAGCAUUUGCCAAGGAUGUUUUCAUUAAUCAAGAACGAAAGUUAGGGGAUCGAAGACGAUCAGAUACCGUCGUAGUCUUAACCAUAAACUAUGCCGACUAGGGAUCGGAUGAUGUUAAUUUUUUAAUGACUCAUUCGGCGCCUUACG